CCUGUCUGUCUGAGGUCGUCUACUAGGUAGGCUGCCUAGAAAAAGGAGCUUGUUCCCCUUGAGGGACCUCUUCAGUUUCCAGAAUCUGCAGAAUGUGAAUACUCCAGAGGAUCAGCCAUUUCCAAGUCAGUCCUGGUCAGUACUCUCACAGCUGUUUUCCUGACUGCACCUAUACUCUGUAUAUGAAGAUCAGUGCUGA